ACCACUAAGCCUUUGCGGCUUCCUCCUGGUAGAGUAGACCUGAAGUGUGAACUUAAAGUCGUCAGGUGCUGCUGUUACUAAAGUCGACACUUAAGAGAGUUAUAUGGCCCCAAAUCAUUCUCUUCGGCGACUCAAUAACACAGUUUGCGUUUCAAGCGAACGGAUGGGGAUCCAAAAUCUCUCAUAAACUCGCCAGAAAAUGCGACGUGGUAAACAGAGGCUUGUCGGGUUACAACACAAGGUGGGCUAAGAUUGUGCUUCCUCGCAUCGUGCCCAUUUCUGAUGCUCCAAUUGCGGCUGUGACCGUCUU